AGCGAACGCUGGCGGCAGGCUUAACACAUGCAAGUCCAGCGGGCCUUUCGGGGUCAGCGGCGGACGGGUGAGUAACGCGUGGGAACGUGCCUUCUGGUUCGGAAUAACUCAGGGAAACUUGAGCUAAUACCGGAUACGCCCUUUUUGGGGAAAGGUUUACUGCCGGAAGAUCGGCCCGCGUCUGAUUAGCUAGUUGGUGGGGUAACGGCCUACCAAGGCGACGAUCAGUAGCUGGUCUGAGAGGAUGAUCAGCCACACUGGGACUGAGACACGGCCCAGACUCCUACGGGAGGCAGUAGUGGGGAAUAUUGGACAAUGGGCGCAAGCCUGAUCCAGCCAUGCCGCGUGAGUGAUGAAGGCCUUAGGGUUGUAAAGCUCUUUUAUCCGGGACGAUAAUGACGGUACCGGAGGAAUAAGCCCCGGCUAACUUCGUGCCAGCCGCCGCCGUAA
rnacentral:rRNA from 1 species